CCAUUUGUUUUGUCAAAAUGACCAAGAUACUGACUCUGAUUGAUUCACAUAUUGUAUUGACAAAUGACUGUUGACAUUGCUUUUCAGUGUCCAAUAUUUCAGUGGUUCAUGCUUUGGAAAUGACAAUAAAUUUUUAUUACCCAACCCUUGAGUUGUUUUGUUUUUCAUUUACCCAACCUUUUACUUACUCAAAAUUUUGAUUACCCAACCUUUUUCUCUUCGGUGCCACCCCCCGCCAUAAAUAAUGACCCGUCCCUAAGCAUCUUCACUUGAUAGAACUAAUCAAUACAUCAAUAUGACAUGGGUUGAUUGUAUGUAAAUGGAAUUCUCGUCUGAAAAUCUACAUUUUUUAUAGACCUUGACAAAUAAACCCAUCUAUCGAACAAAGAUGUCCAAAAUCUAGAUAUUUACCCAUAUUAUACAUGGUGUGUCCAGGUUAAGUCGAAAAAUAUAUUAGAUUUUCAUUGUCAAGAUAAGAGUACCUUAAAAACAUUCGAAACCUUCCAUUUGUCAGAGAUAAAAUUUCGUUGGGUUGGGCUAAGAUUCCAGCAACUCAACCAGGUCAUUCCUGUUUAUCCCUUUCACGAGUUUUAUCAAGGAAGCAACAUCAUGUCCCUCACCUGUGCCCCAGCAGUCCAGUAAUUUUUUUGCAGGAUUUGCAUCCUGAGCGAAUUCUUGGACUUGCUCGUAAUUGUACUUCAUGUCUCCUGCCAGAGUUCUCCAAUCAUUAGGAAUGUCGAGGUUUAGUUUUCUACAAAAUUGUUGAUGAGUCCCUGCAUUUAAAUCUCCGAUUUUUAAACCAGAUAGUCUGUGAGGCGCU